AGUGAACGCUGGCGGUAGGCCUAACACAUGCAAGUCGAACGGCAGCACAGUAAGAGCUUGCUCUUACGGGUGGCGAGUGGCGGACGGGUGAGGAAUACAUCGGAAUCUACUUUUUCGUGGGGGAUAACGUAGGGAAACUUACGCUAAUACCGCAUACGACCUACGGGUGAAAGCAGGGGAUCUUCGGACCUUGCGCGAUUGAAUGAGCCGAUGUCGGAUUAGCUAGUUGGCGGGGUAAAGGCCCACCAAGGCGACGAUCCGUAGCUGGUCUGAGAGGAUGAUCAGCAAAAAGGGAACUGAGACACGGGCCAGACUCCUACGGGAGGCAGCAGUGGGGAAUAGUGGACAAUGGGCGCAAGCCUGAUCCAGCCAUACCGCGUGGGUGAAGAAGGCCUUCGGGUUGUAAAGCCCUUUUGUUGGGAAAGAAAAGCAGCAGGUUAAUACCCCGCUGUUCUGAAGGUACCCAAAGAAUAAGCACCGGCUAACUUCGUG
rnacentral:rRNA from 1 species